ACGAGCACAAAUGCAUAAAGACAUCAGAGUGCCCAAGUCUCAGAUGGGCACAGGAUGCAUCCGUAUACUCUUUUCAAGUAUGGACACUACAGUCUGUUCCUCAACACAGCUUUUUGCAUAUAAAGGUCACAGCACUCUUGCCAACAUCCUUUAAAAAUAUGGAGACCAGAACAGCAGAAAGUAUUGGAAUAACAAUCACACAGAGCUAAAUGAAGAAAGAGAGAACAAUACUGCUGGAAAAAGAGGCACAGAGAAAUCAAUGGGCUUGCUCAGUCAUGUUCAAAAGCAAGGAAUGGGAUUCCCAUUUCUAAGUUUUAUUCUUUAUACUCCUUGCCUAGCCACUCAUAGCUUUUUUCCUUCUCCUCAGACAAAUAAAAAAAAAAAAAAAAAGAGAGAGAAGAAGAAAAUGAGAAAAAAACAAAGAAACAAGACAAAAAAUUGCCAUCGGUCUGUUCAUAUAGUUGUCUUUCUAAAGGGAUUAUGUUGCCUGAAAUAGAACUUAAGGUCAGUAGAAGUUACAUGCUGAGAUUCUAGAAGCUGCUUUAAGUCAACUGUGUAAUUAAGUAACUAUAUUGUCUCCUUCUGACGUUUUCUGUUUGUUGCCCUUAAGAAUAAUUUGAGUAUUUGCCAGUGGUCGCUUUUUGAAACGCUUGGAUUUUUUGUGCAGUUAAGUUCUAUGGUGAGCAGCAAAAUAAGUGUGCUUGGAUAUAAGGCUGUCAGGAAGCAGGUGGAUAUUCAAGGGUUACAGCGUUAGUGAUGUCUUCACAGAUAAAGAAGAGGAGUGUAAAGGUUGGGAGAAGAAAGAAGCAUCUGUCUUGGAGCUAGGUCUGCUGAGAGAUUUAUGGAUAAAGAGGGGAAAAAUUCCUGGGAAGGAUGAAUCAUUCAAGGCCAGGAAACAGGUAGGCUAACCUCUGAGGGGAGACCCUGGGGGAAGAAAGACAGAGUUCUUUAAAUGAUGGGGCAGAUAUCCCAGCAGAAUUAGAGUACCCAGCUCUGAAACAAAGAGGCCAAGGUUAGAUGUGAUGCUUAAGGCUUCCCCCUCCAAGUCUAAACUUCAUUAAAACUUAGGAACUGAUUGAGUGUGUGGAAGGUACGUGACCUCAAGGUUACACAAUAAGCUUGUUCAUAAGUCAUCUGCUGUUUCCAUCUCUUCUUCCUCAUUUGGCUUCUUUCAUGCUCUCCCUUUCCAGACUCAUUUUGUUGCCUACGGUUCUAGACUUUAUCUUUGAGGUCUUUUCCACAUCACAUCGCUCAAACUUCUUGUACCAACAUCAUUAAUCUCAUAGGCCCACACUCUUUUCUCAUUACACCCUAAGAAUCACAGCCUUUUCCAUAGAAGGCUGCCAUUCCAGUCUCUGUCUUGUCCUGCUUUAGCCAGGGAUUUUUCCUCUCAUAUGACUGCUAGACUUUAUCUCCUCUGUAUUUGAUUCUGGGAUGUUUCUUACCACAUCCCCCUCGAGUCCUUGCUAGGAUGUCACUGAGAGCACUACAGUGAUAGACUCAGUUUUUGGUGCAGCUGCUGGGCUGGGCAUGGCCUGCAUAAGCUUAGAAGACAAUAGCAGGGAAAGUCAUUCUGAGCCCCGACUGUAGCAUUGGCAGUGCAGUUGGUAUCUUUCAGGAAUAUUUAACUGUUAAAAAAUUGAAUGCAUCACCACUAAGCAUGUGCAGUCAUUUCCCAAAGGCGUAACAAGCUUGAGUAGGUUUUUACAGGGAUGGCAAAAGGCAGAUCUCUGAUAAAUGCUGUCUUAUGCAUUUAAUUUCAAAUUGCUGUUCUAAAUCAUGAGAAUGCUAGGGGUUUCCAAAUUUUUUUUUUUAAAAAGGCAUUAGAAAAUCAUUGUUUUACCUUAUGCCAAAAAGGUAAGAAAAACUUUCUAAUCGGAAUGAGAAAAUCAGUUUGCCUGACUUUGUCUGACUUUGCAAUAACAAUUUUGAAACAAGGCGGAAAAAAACCUAUCAUUUCAGAAUAAAAUGAGUCACAUCAUCUACUCUAUACAGCUUUCAAUAUAACUAGCUAUUUGAAAUUAUCCAGGGAACCAGAAUUAACACACUUCGCUGCUGAGGAAAAAACUCCAACAUACAAAUCAAUGGUAUUUUCAAUAACAUCUCUGAAUGCUGACAAAUCAUGGCUCCAUGGCAUCCUCCCUAACCCAGCGGUGCAAUAAUGUUCAAGUACUAACUCAGAGAGUCACCGAUUCAAAAAAUCUUCCUGCAAUAAAUAGGCUUUUCUUACAGCUCUUCUACUCAAGCAUUGACAACUCCAAGGCCUGUUUAGUUUUUGAUACAUGCUUUUAACCUCCAAAUCUUUAUCUAUAUCAUGUAGCACUUCCCCAUUUAACAGAGACUGCUUUUUUUUUUUUUCCUGGAUUUAUCAUUGUUCUAUAACUAUGUUUAAACUGCAUUUCUCAUCCGUUAAAUCUUAUCUUCUCAAACACAAUCUAUAUUGAUCUAGAAUCCAAUUUUUCUUAAUUUGCUUUCUGAUGGUAUUGUGUGAAAACCUGUACACAUGAAAUUUAAUAUCCUAACUCUAACCAAAAUCUCUAAUACAAAUCAGUAUUAAUAAUUAGUUGUAGAUUCCAUUCUUUCUGCAGUUAUUCCAAUGUUUAGCUCUCAGUCUAUUCAAGCAGAGUAUUAAUGAUACCUUUCUUUUAAAAUAUUUAGAGGUUUUAUUUACCUGUUGUGAUAUUUAAUCUGAAUCUUUUUGAAGUGACGCCUAAACUUCAUUGUAUGGCAAGUGAUAUAACAGAUACAUUCUAAGAAAUCCCAAGCCUAGGUCAUUGCAUCAGGCUAGCCAUGGAAAAAGCAGUAAAUCCAGAAUAAAUAUGUUGAUCUCAAAGGGUGUAUUCUGAGCUGACAGACUUACAUGAGAAAAGAGUGUUUGACCUAUUGAUUUCUACUAGCUACUUAUAUUUGCUCAUGUGAUCACUACACCACAAUUGUAGUUUGAAAUAAAGUUUCUCAAGGUUGAUCCUACAGCAGGUUAUAAAUCUUUAGAGUUUAGGAAGUUCUUCAGGUACUAAGUGUAAGUUAAAAUAACCGUUUGAGAUGUGCUAGACAAGGAAAUAAGAGAAAUCAUGUGCAUUUUCUAAUUCGAAGUCCACUUAGAUAAACAAACAUUCUGAGAGCAAAUGCAAAAGUGAAAAAGUAUAGCCUUGUCUAUGGUAUGGUCUAUCAAAGAUAUAUGACAGACCACUUAUCUGAAUUUUUAAAGUCAUAUUGUGCCCAUAGAUGUGGAGAAAGGGAUUGCUGGGGUAAAGAGUGUUCCCUAAAUCAUCACCUUGGAGUAAGCAGUCUGGAAGCUGAUCCAGUUACUCUGUUGUUUGCCAAAUGAAAAUUUAAGUGAAACAAAAUGUAUAGAUCUUCCUCUUUAGCUAAAAUGUGUUUACACUGAUACAUUUUCUGUAACUACAUGUUAAUUCUUCACAAAGAGCAGAAUAUAUACAGACUACAUAGAGGUCUGUUUUUCAAAAUUUUGUGACUAAGUUGUUCUGAAGGUCCAAAUUCUCAGUAUUCAGUUACAAUUCUGAUUAUUCUUGAACUGUAGAAUAGACACCACAUAACCCCAAUAAUUUUAUUUUGAUGGGCACGAACCCAGUGGAAAUUUCUAUGACCAGAAACAUGCUUUGUGAAUCAAAAUUUGGAAAGUAAUAAAAAAGGACACUAAUAAAAAAGAACAGUAGUUAUAUCUUCUAAUCAAACUUUCAUGCAACAGAAUUUCAGAUUUUUAUUCCAGUAAACCUUGAGGUUGCAGCAGGAACAGGAACAGGUUGUCCAGAGAAGUUGUGGAUGCCCCAUACCAGAAGUGUUCAAGUCCAGGCUGGAUGAGGCUUUAAGCAACCUGAUCUAGUGGAAGGUGUCCCUGCCCACGUAGGUUGUCCCUGCUCAUGGCAAGGGGCUGGAGCUAGAUGAUCUUUAAGGUCGUUUCCAACCCAAGACAUUCUAGGAUUCUGUUCUAUGUAUUAUAAAGAUCUUGGGGACUAACAUAAUUAAGAAGUCCUAAGGAACCUUUCUGUGGUCCUGAUAAGAUUUGCAGGUCUUUAUUUAAAGUCAUAAUCAAGUGAGUUCCUUCUGAACCAUCUACUUUCACAGAGGAAAAAAAAAUCCAUCAUUUAAAAGACACCAUCUCUAUUUUUGCCUCUCUUUUUAGAGAAUUUAACUAAUAAAUAGUUUAUCUUAUUUAAAUCAACAAACAACAAACCUAACCACAGAGGUGGACUUACAAUUGCCUUUUAUAAACUAUUCUUUCUGAAUAGCUGGAAAGAUACUACAGUAAGUUUCUGCAACCUGAUAUGUGACAUACAAAUAUUGGGAACUAAUGUUUGUUUUAUUGCAGAAAAUGCUUCAGCAUUUUGCUCUUGGAAAGCAAAAGCCGAAGCAGAAAUGCAACAGGCUUUUAAUUUGAUAAGAGGUCCUGUACUGCAAUUUUUUCUUUAUUCUCAUGGGACUAUCUGAUCUUUCCCAGAUUUACCUUGUGCCACGGAACUGCCUGAUGUUCUUCAUCAGCUUUUAAAAAAAGAAUUGCUACAAAUGAGAGCCUACAGUGGCAGCCCUGGUUUAUUUUAUGCAAUGCUGUCACCUAAUAAUUGUAACACAAAAGUUUGGCAGCAUUUUGCAGCUGCACUAAGUCAUGCUAAUGGGUGGUAUCCAGUUGCUAAUGUUGAAAACUGCUUUUACACAGAAGCUGAUUGAAUAGGUUUGCUUCCUAGCAAAGGCUUACUUGUUUCUUUCAUUUUUUAAAGAAAGGCCUCACGUUAUCCAAUUUGUCUGUCUGAUGAAAAGUUUCAGUGCAUAAAGGAGUAUGUGGAUAAAGGAGAAUGGAAUGAAAUCUGAGUGCUCACAAAAAGCCCUAAAUGCAAUUUUCCCUAUAUAUCUAUUUUUAAUACCUUAGAGACCAGAGAGAGGAGCCUUCUUCAGUCACAAAUUUAAAGUAGUUUAAGGUUUAUUUGAUACCUCUGAGCCUCUACAAAAUUUUUUUAAUCUUACAAGUUUUUCUUCUAUGUAGUUAUGUAAAGUUUAGCUGAAGCCAAAGUGAUUAAUGAAGACCUCAGGCAAGGCAGGAAAUGGAGAUUAGUAGAGUAACCAAUAAUUAGUACAGUAACCAAUAAUUUGUAGGGUCCAGGGUGACCCAUCUUAUUGUUAGUACUGAAUGCGCAUAUAGAAGUCCUUCCUCCUGCUGACUCUAGAGCAACCUCUGUCUCACCUUGCUGCAAACCUCUCUUCCCUUCAUUCUUAGAAGGAUACUUCAUCUUUCCCUUGUGUGCAGAAACCCACAUGCUUCCCUGCCCAUGUGGUGCAAACAGCUUCUCCUCUUGGCCAUCUGCACAACUGCAAACAUCUGUCCAAGUGGGUGACCCACCUCCCUGCACAGUGGUAGCAACCUGCUUCACUCCUCUUUUUCAUCAGUGACUAUCUGUUUUGCUUGUCAUUCUGCCAUCAGAUGCUCAUGCCUUCCAGCUGUACCCAGCAUGGAGCCAGCCUGCACGUUCUGGGGUAAGGACAAGGAGAGCUCUGCACUUAUUAUUCUUCUUGUCUCAGAGAAGGCAGGGGCCAGCUGGAGAAACUUGUAGACCACUUUUGACCUGUAAGUGUCCUUCCUUAUCCUUCACCAGCAGGAAGGUGGGUGGCAUUACCACCAUUUCAGACCCUAAGUGUGUUUCAUUUGUAGUGUGCUGAGCCGGCUCCACGGGUGAGCCUGGCAUUGACUCAUCAGGAAACACAAAUGACACAGCUAGAUUCUGUCUCUGAAAUGAGAUCUAGGCUCACCAAGUAGCUCAAAUGAGUCAAAACGCUCUGCAUCUGUGCAUGAAGAUGCUGGAAUCUCAGACACAGAGAGUUUCAAGCUAGUAAGCACUACCACCUAUGCAUUUGGAUAGCUCUGGAAGAAUGUAGCAAACAGAGAAGGAUUAAGCACUUGGUUAAAUGUACUGUGUGCAAGUCUCAUAAUAACGGUGCAGCUUGCUUUAUGGGACUAGAUUGCCUGAUAUAAAUCCAAGAAAAAAUCACAGACCUAAGCAAACCUGAAAUAUUUAAAAAUAAAAAUUCACAUCCAAGGUUGGUAAUUUAUAAUAAACAUAAUUUUAUAAGUGCUUGUUUUCUGUUUUUAUUUUUCCAAAGCUGUCCCUUUCUGAACUUAGAGUCAGGAAGCCUCUGUUGCACUUCCAGGUCUGGAACGCACAUAGCCAGUAUUUUUCAGAGUAUCCUUCAUGGUACGUUACAGGCAAAUCUGAGAGGGGCUAACUUGUCUGUCAAGUUUUAGCCCCACCCAGCCAAAUUCGUCAGAUAAAUCCAUGCAGUUGAGCUUCAAAAUCCCUUCUCAUCCCAUACCCUGCAGGGAAAGGAGAGAGGGAAAUGAGAGAAAAAAAAAAAACAAACAAAAAACUUAUGGGUUGGAAACUAGAACUACAGCUUUAAUGAAAUACUAAUCAUAAUGAUAACAAUGCAAAUAAUUACAAAGUAAUAAAAUAUAUACAAAUAUGUAAGAGUGUGUCCCCAGCCCACCCCCUGAUGACUGUAUGUCACCACAAAUACUACAGAGCAGACACAAGGAAAUAGGUCCACGUCUAGGAGGGAGCUGGACUCAGGAACUGGAUUCAGGAACACACGGAUCUGGGAUCAGGAGCAACCAAACAAGUGAGGUCCUCACUUUAUGUCAUCACAGAAGAGAGCAAGUCUCUAGUAAUCUCUCAAAUUUAUACUGAGUAUGACAUAUAUGGGAUAGAGUAUCUGUUGGUCAGUUUAGUGUCACCUGCCGUACUCGACCCUCCUUGCAGCCACGGCUUCUUUUCCACCGUCUUGAGGAUGGCCUUGAUUAAGUAUAAGCAUUGGCCUUUUUUGCAUUCCAAUGCCCUGUGUUAUCAUUUUAGAGAACAACCCUGUCUAAAAACCAUGCAGUUAUUUCUCAAAGAAAUGGAGUUACAUACAGCAAGUGAGUUGGUCUUAAAACUGCCUCUAAUUUACCUCAAACUACAAUGCUUGUCACACAGAAGCUUUUAUGGUUCUGUGUCAAACAGCUUAUUUAAUGUGGGAAAGGAAAAAAAAGAACAAUGAGCAUAACAUUGCUUCUUGAAAGAGCUUCUCAUUGUUUCUGAAGGGAUGUGAGUCUUCUGCCAAGGCAUCAGGGCAAUGAAGGAUGAAACAUGGGGUUCAGUCUUUGUCUCAGCUAGUAACUGAUUAUUAUGGGACAAAAUAAGUGCUUGGAAUAGAAAUGGAAACUGAAGUCCUCACUCUUUCCAUGGGAAUAUUUAAACCUCCAUGAUGUGUAGGUCACCCUUGGACUCAGUGGCUCAUUUCUGGUGUGUUCUGCUGUAGCACACUGAAUUUUGUAGCUUCUGUUUUGACAAGAAAAGACAUUUGCCUGAGAAUUACCUUUGAAAUACUCAGCUUUAGGUUGCUAUAACCUCUUUGUAAAACUACCUGUAGCAUUAACAAGCCUAUGCAAGGUCUUUUGUAUCAGUUACUUUUACAGUGUUUUAUUGAUGGUGCAGGGGAGGCACAAGAAUCAUUUUAAAAGUCAUUUGUUGUUCUAAUAAAAUUUCCAAAUACGGUAAUUGUUAUAUGGAGCAGAUCACAUCUUGCAGUAAAACAGUACAGUGAAAAGGAAAUGUAUGUGACUAUGGUCAAAGAGAAAUUAUCAUUCACUUUUAAUUGUGAAAUAAAAAGACUAAAAUGUACUUCUCAGCAUAUGGUCUACAGAUCAGGACCAUGCUAGGAAAAUAAAGUUCAUAUGUGUAAGACUUUUAGUUAAGAAAUAACACAGACUACAUAAAACCAGGAACUUUUAACACAACAGAGUAUUCUCAACAUUGAAUUAAAAAAUAGUUCACCUUUCAGCACUGUACAAAAGACACUAUUAAAAUAAGUGGUGCUAAUUUAAUGUGAGGGUAAAAUGCCCUGAUUGACAGCUGUGGGAAAUUUUAUUCAGAAAACAGUGCUAAAGAGGUGAAUUUCCGUACAUUGUCAUCACCAAUUUAUGUUACCUAGAAAGAGCUAUCAUAGAGGUAAUUACUGUGUCAAACCAACUUGUAUUUUUUUACAUUUUUUUGGUCACAUGGCUUCUGUCUCACUAGGUUUUAGAUUGACACUGUCAAGCUCAUUGCGUGUAGUCCAGCAAGCAAACAUCAUAUCACUCUGGUCACAAUACUUUGAGGCAUUUGAAAGACCCUGGACCAAAUAUCAGUGUGUUUGUCUCUCUGUGAAUGCAUCUGUUUGUGCACUAGUGAGAUGUGCCACACAGCAGGUAACAAAACGGUGCUGACAACCGUGCCCUUGCACAUCCCCGUGACCAUGCCUGUGCCUGCGCCCUUCCCAUGCAUGAUGGUGCUCAGACCAGCUCAGCCCUACUCUGAGGCUGUGCCUGGCGUUGGCUUGAGCUAGAAGUGUCCAUGUGAGCCUGGUUUGUGCACUCUGAGGCUGCACCACAGUACGGACUGUGGCAUGGCAAAUCGAGACAGUCACUAAAUUGGUUUCCAAAAGUGCACGCUCCUGUUUCAAAUUAGAAGGCUGACUGCAAUGGCUCCUCCAUACCGCUUCAGCUACAGAUUUUAUUGGUUGAAAUUAACUGCAAGUGCCAAAAAAACAGAAACCAAAUUUGGAAGAAAUGGCCCAGAGGUAAACUUUGAUUUAAAUAUUUUGUUUGAAUUUGCAUUGGAUGCAAGUGUCAAGGGGUAUCCUGUGUGAGGAGUGUCUAGGGCUGCCCCGGUGACUCAGUCACUUUCAGUUGACUCCAACAACUCCACCAUAGAGCACUGCUGAGCCCCGCAACCAUGCUGAUGGCAACAUGGAGAGUGUCUGUGUAUGGAAGGGCAGAAGGUGUCUGACAGAGAGAUCAGAUCCUCAGAUUAGAAAACGUGUGAGAAAUAGGAGAGACAACAUCAAGAGCAGAGGAGGAAAACAUGCUCCAUGGCACUGCACCAGGCAUAUAUUGCAGUCCAUAGAGGGCCCCAUGCACAUAGCUGUUUCCAAAGGAUCUGUCAUCAUGGAGAGCCCGUGCUGGACCAGAGACAAGAUGUGAGAAGGAGGGAGUAGCACAGAGAAAGUGCUGGUGCUGACUGUGACCCUCAGGUAUCUUCUGCACUACUCAGGUUGUAGAGAGGAAUGUGGAGAGGAGGAGAGAAGCUGACCUUGGGAAAAGGAGAGGAGA